UUUAUAGCUUGUUCUUAAUUGUAAUAUUUGAACUAUUUUAUGCUUCACAUUACUCUGUUUUUGUUAUAUUUUUGUAACAAAGAAAGUCGUCUCUUGGUGUCGUACCACAAACGAGAUACAGAGAGCCUUCACCAAGACUUGAAGGUCUUGAGUUUAGAACGUACUCUUGGCUGGGGCUGGAUCGUAGGAAAUGUUUGCCUAGGCGAUAGGUAAGGUCAAACCAAGGUAGGGGUUCUGGGAAUUGAAGAAUGUAGCGUUCAAGGUCUUGUAAUUGGAAGUGUGUAUGUAAG
rnacentral:lncRNA from 1 species